GAGAGCUAGACUAGAACCACUUCCUGUCACUAAGCAUUCCAGCCCAUUGGUUCUUUCCUUGCUGACCAUGCCACAGUGGACCAGCAGAGGCUCUGCAACCUUCUGAAGUCUAAAGGAAGAAGUUCAAAAAGAGGAGGAAGUGGGUAGUUCAUUUCCUGUUUCCGGGUGCCUCUUAAUGACUGUGUGAGAGCUUGGAUCACUUCUCCUCUCUGGUUCCCAAACCACAAAUGGGAAAAACUGCCGUCCUGCAAUAGCCAUGAAACUCUCUGGUUUACAUCAUUAAUGAUAUACAAAAGAAAAAUCUCUUUGGCUCGAUUUCAAUCUCUAUACCACUGAACAAUAAGCACCAAUAAUGCACAUUAGAAAAUACCAUUGGUGGAGAAACUUCUUAGUUUCUUAGGAUGGACGACAAGGAAGCAGAAGUGCACGAAACUCCAUGCAAAGUAGGUAACCAGUGGAUAACUUUGUCAACACUGCCUCCAAAAGUGCUUACCUCACUUUGAAACAGCACCGAAGCUCUUCGUGCAAACGCAUCAUGAAAUUAUGUCGAUGCGAUGCUGCACUCAGCAGCUCCAUCAGCAGGGCGCCAGCUGACUUCAAACGCCUCCUAAGAACACCGUGAACUAAUAACCAUGAGCGCUGUCCAGGGUCAACCCCCAAACACCCCAGGACACAAAUGCUAAAAGUCCAGGAAGGAUGUGAUCUUUCAAAGUGUUGCAGAUUUCCCCAAGCCCUUCUACGUGAAUGGAUGGCACGAGGACAGCUAAAUCUUAGUUGCUCUUAAUCCCCACAUUGUCACCAUUAUACAUUAGACAAUUUCUAAGAGAUUUGUUGGCAUUUAUUUUCAAACCUAAUAGAGGCACUUUUGCAAAGGAAGAGAUCUUGCUAGCUGAAGACAAGUACCACAAUAAUAUAGCACGGUGAUAUCAAAAGCAAGCAUUUGUUUUCCUUCCAAUCCCCAGGAGUGACUUGGGUUAAAGUAAUAUAUAAACUUGAAAGCACUCAGUAUAAGUUAUGGAAACUAGCAUAAAUUAAUCUCUAGGCCAACUGCCUAUAACAUAAUCACUUGCUGUAUAAAUUCUAUAGAAAUGAUAAAUCCAGCCUGACUUUAAUUACUAUGGUAUCUUUCUGUAUUGCCAAUAAUGUACACACAUAAAUCCUAAAAUUCAACAAAUAAUGAAGCAAAAACAGCUGAGUGCACACACAAUUUUCAGGAAUACUCCAAACUGGCUGAUGAUCCUAUCAUUAGCCUGUUAAAAUCCACCGGCUCAUUCUAUAAUUUUCCCUUUUACCGUGCUUUAGAUUCUCUCUUCAUUCCAAUGAUGAU